ensembl:lncRNA
GGGACAUGUAUAUCCCUCUCCCAGCCCAGCGCUCUCCCGCCUGACUUUGGACAGAGGUGCCUGCACUACUUUCAUCGUGGGGCAACCCUAGCUCCCCCAAAUCCUGCUCCAGUACUGAAUGGGGGUGAGGCAGGUGCUAACAAGUGAGAAAGAAGGGUUUCCCGAGUGUGGAGCAGAGAGGAAGUGACUCAUCAAAUACAACAAAGCCCAACUCUCCACGAGGAAGCACUGGUGAGGAGUGAACCCAAGUGGGUGUGUUCACCCACGUGCUCGCGGGGCCGUCGGGGUGGGCCGGGCUGGCUGCCGCCUAGUGCUAGUCUGCAUGGGUGGGAUGAGGGGAGGUGGGGGGGCAGGCCUAUGGUGCCGGUCACUGCCUGGAGCCAAGUGAUGGGGUGGGGGCGGAGGGACCCCUUUCUAUCCAAAGUUCUGCUCUGCCGUUCCCCUUUGGCCUCUGGGGGCCGAGGGGCGUGUUUCCUUAGGACCCUGGGCGUGGGAGAAGCCCCUGCUUGGACUGACAGUCCGCUGUGUUAGGCUAGCCCUUCAACACAUGGGAGGCAAAAGUCCAGCGAGCGCGAUCGCCCAGCUGGGGCUGCACAGCACGGCGAGGCCAGCGCAGAGCCGGGAUGCUGGGCUUGGUCCAGCGGAGGCUCGGCCUGGCUGUAAAGCAGAGAGGGCGAGGGAAACCCGGCCAGCAGGUCUCGCGGGGAGCCGGCAUCCGGGAGCGGGUGUGGCGCCCAGAGCGCUGCUGCCUCUUGCAGCCAGGAGGCUGGACGUCGGGUUUGGGUGUCUUCCAGAAGCAGCCGCGAAAGCCACGAGGGAAGAGGAACUGGCUUCCCGGGAAGUCUCCUCUGCCCCAAACUUUUCGUCCUCGCUGAGAGGGGCGGGCGGAGGAAGGAAGCGUGGCCGGGGAAGGUGGGGCCAGCGUUCGACCGCCCGGGGCGCGGCUAGGGUGAGUGUGUCUUUGAAUCCGAGCCCCCCUGCCCCUCGCGGUGGGGCUGGGACUCGCGGGCGGGGCGGGGUCGGGCGCGGUGAUUGGCGGCCGGGCCGGGUCCAACCCUCGGCGGUGCGGGGGACGCGGGACGCGGGACGCGGGGGAGCAGCGCGGCGCGCACUGGCAGGGGUGCGCAGCUCCCAUCGCGGGCUAGCGCGGGCUCCCUCUCGCAUGGCCUCGCCGGGUCCGCCUGGCCUGCCCAUCUUCGAAGCCGCCUCUGCCCCCGCAUGGGCUGGGGAAGUUGGGAGGAGCGAGCCGGAGCCCGCACGGGGCGCGCCCCACAGCUGCCUGACUCGGCGCCCGCAGUCCAGGCGUAGCUUGCCGGCAUCAGGAGCACGAAUGCCCCGUGGAGCGGCGGGAUGGCAGAUGGAGUCUUGGUCCGUUGCCCAGGCUGGAGUGCAGCGGUGCAAUGUUGACUCACUGCAACUCUACCUCCCAGGUUCAAGCAAUUCUCCUGCCUCAGCUUCCCGAGCAGCUGGAACUACAAGCGCACACCACCACAUUCAGCUAAUUUUUUUGUAUUUUUAGUAAAGACGGGAUUUCACCAUAUUGGCCAGGCUGGUCUCGAACUGCUGACCUCAUGAACCACCCACCUCGGCCUCCCAAAGCGCUGGGAUUACAGGUGGGAGCCACCGUGCCCAGCCGACACUGGUCUUUUCUGGCCUUUGGACUCAAGUGGAAAUGCUUGCUGUUCUUGUGUCUUCAGCCUGCCAACUUUCAAACAAGAACUUACACCAUCAUCCCUCUGCUCCUCAGGCCUUCAGUCUCCAACAGCAGCUAGACCGUCAGCUCUCCUGGGUCUCGAGCUUGUUGCCUGCAGAUCUUGGGGCUUCUCAGCCUCUUGUCACAUAAGCCAAUUCCUUCUAAUAAAUCUCUCUCUCUGACAUAUAUAAAUCUCCUAUUGGUUCUUUUUCUCUGGAGAAUCCUAAUACAAUAGGGCCAUGGAUCAUCCCAGAGAGAAAGUAGAGGUGAAGCAGGGAGCCCCAUCCUAGCACCUGGAUCCUAGGGUCCUUUCAGAGUCUUCUCUGAAGAAGUCCUAAGUCCUACCUAGAAUCUCCAGUAAAAAUGACAACAGAGCCCAGGAAUGCCUUCUAGAUCCAUAGAGAAAGGUGUGUGGCUGGGUGACUUUCCACACUUGUCUGAGUUCUUUCCCCAGCAAGAAGACCCAAAAUCGAUCCCCUGCCCCAUCCCCAGGGAAACCUGGCUUGGUGGCUGUGGCUGAAGUCGGC